GGGUAGAGCUCAGUGGUAGAGCAUGUGUGCUUGGCAUGCAUGAGGUCCUGGGUUCAACCCCCAGUGCCC
rnacentral:tRNA from 1 species